AUGCUCUUCCGUGUCUUCUUCUUCUUGGAGAUUUUCCGUCUUGUCUCCAGCCAAGUCUUCCAACCCGAGCAACUGAUCCUCGUCGAAAAAGAGAAGAUGGUGCUGAAGUGCACUCACAACAUCACUGUCAUUAACAACAUGUUUUGGUACCAGCAAACUGGCAGAGUCCUAGCAUUUCUGGGGGCCAACUAUAACGGAAAAUCUGAUCUUCCCGGCGGAUUUACGAUGGACGUGGAGCAAAAAUCCCGCUCGAGCAAAUUUACGAGAGACGUAGCAAGGCUGAAAGAUGCCGGUGUGUACUUCUGUGCUGUGAGAGACACAGUGGCAGGAAGCAAGCUGGCCUCAGUCCAAAAAUGA